rnacentral:sRNA from 1 species
AGAAGUGCUUUUCAUCAGUAAUGUAGUCUAUCUGCUUCUACUGAGCCAACAACAGCUUGUCGAACUUUUCAUUCAGAGCCUUGAUAUCCUUGCUUUGUUUGUCCUCACUACCUCCAGUUCCUCUCAUUGAGCGAUCAUAGUCUUCAUUGUAGCACCCAUCAGAUUGUGCUAGAUUUUCGACCAACACCCAUCCUUCUGCUACAUCCUUGUUCAGGAAGUUUCCAUUGGAGGCGGUGUCGAGUAGCAUUCUGAUCUUUGGUAAAGCUCCUCUAUAGAGUGUGCUCAAUAAUGAAGCCUUCUUGAAACCGUGAUGGGGGCACUGAGUGGUGUAGCUUUUAAACCUCUCCCAAACUUCAUAGAAAGUUUCAUUGUUUUU